ensembl:lncRNA
CCUUGGACUUCAAAAACAUAAAAAAAAAUAAAUAAAUCUUAAAGACCCUGAAAUUUUUAAUGGUGUGUAUAAUAUAUUUACACACACACACACACACACACACACACACACACACACACACACACACACACACACACACACACACACACACACACACACACACACACACUAAUGAUAAUCUUGAAUAGUCAAGUUGGGUUUGAUUACAGUUACAGUUGAGAGGCCUGUCACUAUGUGUGAGCACUACUACACUUGUUUGGUUACGUGAAAUCAGCUUUUCUGUUGUUGGCAGCGAGGCUUAUGUUCAUAAACAUAUACACGUGAGAAAUUAUCAUGAUGCAGCUCGCUGAAAACACACACACAAUUCCUGUAAUACACUGCAAUCUUUAAUAAUUAAUUUGUUAACAGAUGUAGCCAGUGCUCAGCAUUGUUUCUUUCUGCAUUAUUAAAAUUCUACAAUUUUAUUUGCAUUGUUACAGUACAUUGUAGUUUCUGCAUCUGGUGCAAACAUGUAUAGUGACUGAUGUGACAUGCAAAACUGUGUUCUGAGUUCAUAUCCUGUGCAUCAUGCUGUUGCAUGGAUUGAAGAGUGAUUAUGCAUUAACUUAGAAUCAGAGUCAGAAUCAGAAAGUGUGUUUACACACACAAGGAAUUCGUCUUGGUGUCAGGAGCUUCCAGUACAGGAAGUACAAACAUAGUGCAGACAUAUAAUUUAAGGGAAUAAACUGAAAUAAAACACUAAUGAUAAAGAGAAUACAAUAUGCUAAUAAAAUAUAGAGAAAAAGGAAAUAUCAAUAGACAGAAGUGUGAAUGUGCAUAUGUGCUAUUUAAAGAUGAAAAGUUUUGAUAAGUUAUAUACACAUGUGCAGUCCUGAGAUGUGUUAUGUGUGGUUCAGGUGGGAUAUGGCCUGCGGGAAAAAAAUGAUUGUGUAGAUAGCCAGCUCUUUAACCUCUUGUCUGUAAGCAAACUCCUCACCGUUCUGGAUGAGGCAGAUGACUGUAGUGUGGAGCUUGACAGAGGGGUCAGUAGAGGUGCGGUCGUCUAUGUAGAGGGAGAAGAGCAGUGGGGAGAGAAUAUAACCCUGAGGGGCACCAGUGCUGAUCGUGAGAGUCCUGGAUGUGAGUUUACCCAACUUCAUCCACUUACAGAUGGAGGUGGGUACGGAGAUCAUGCAUGAUGGUAUCGAAGGCCAAACUGAAGUCCAUGAAUAAGAUCCUUGCAUAAUUCCCAGGUCUGUCGAGGUGUUGCAGAAUAUAAUGCAGUCCCAUGUUAACUGCAUCAUCCAAAGACCUGUGAAGAGGAUCCAGCAAGGGUGCAGAUGUCCUUCAGGGAAUACAGCACCUCGUCAAGGGAACAUGUUCUAAAACAGAAGAACAGCUGAUUGGAGUUCAG